UACAGAGGGGGCAAGCGUUAUUCGGAAUUAUUGGGCGUAAAGGGCGCGUAGGCGGCUUUGCAAGUGACGGGUGAAAUCCCUCGGCUUAACCGAGGAACUGCCUGUCAGACUGCAUGGCUUGAGACCGGGAGAGGUGAGUGGAAUUCCCAGUGUAGCGGUGAAAUGCGUAGAUAUUCGGAGGAACACCAGUGGCGAAGGCGGCUCACUGGUCCAUUACUGACGCUGAGGUGCGAAAGCGUGGGGAGCAAACAGG
rnacentral:rRNA from 1 species